rnacentral:rRNA from 1 species
CGCACGGGUGCGUAACGCGUAUGCAACCUACCUGUUACAGGGAGAUAGCCCGGGGAAACCCGGAUUAAUAUUCCAUAGUAUUGAUUUACUGCAUGGUAGAUUGAUUAAAGCCUUCGGGUGGUAACAGACGGGCAUGCGUAGGAUUAGCUAGUUGGUGGAGUAACGGCCCACCAAGGCGAUGAUCCUUAGGGGUUCUGAGAGGAAGGUCCCCCACACUGGCACUGAGAUACGGGCCAGACUCCUACGGGAGGCAGCAGUAGGGAAUAUUGGUCAAUGGGCGAGAGCCUGAACCAGCCAUGCCGCGUGCAGGAAGACGGCGUUCUGCGUUGUAAACUGCUUUUAUCUGGGAAGAAAAAGCC